rnacentral:rRNA from 1 species
UGCGUAGGCGGAUAAAUAAGUCAGAAGUGAAAGCUCACCGCUUAACGGUGGAAUUGCUUUUGAUACUGUAUAUCUUGAAUUAGGUUGAGGUUAGCGGAAUGUGGCAUGUAGCGGUGAAAUGCAUAGAUAUGCCAUAGAACACCAAUUGCGAAGGCAGCUAGCUAGGCCUAUAUUGACGCUGAGGCACGAAAGCGUGGGGAGCGAACAGGAUUAGAUACCCUGGUAGUCC